rnacentral:rRNA from 1 species
UACGGGGGGAGCAAGCGUUGUUCGGAUUUACUGGGCGUAAAGGGCGCGUAGGCGGCGCAACAAGUCACUUGUGAAAUCUCCGGGCUUAACCCGGAGCGGUCAAGUGAUACUGUCGUGCUAGAGUGCGGAAGGGGCUACUGGAAUUCUCGGUGUAGCGGUGAAAUGCGUAGAUAUCUGGAGGAACACCGGUGGCGAAGGCGACAUCCUGGACCGGCAUUGACGCUGAGGCGCGAAAAGCCAGGGGGAGCAAACGGG